GAGGAAAUUAGAAAAGGGAAAAGAUGUUACUACCCUUUGCACGAUAAAUUGUUACCUUGUAUACUGGCCCAAAACCACCCUGCGCUAGCUUAUUAGUGUCGGUAAAGUUACUUGUUGCUGUGGCCAAUUCUUCCAAUUUAUUAUAGCACUAGCUCCAGGAUAUAGCACAGACAACAUCACCCCAACACAGUUCAUCAGAGACCCGGAUGCUGUAACUUCAGAAGGCAGCGUCUUUAGGCUGGGAUUCUUCAGCUCUCUGGGUCCUGCCAAUCGAUAUGUGGCCAUAUGGUACAACCAAGUCUCUGUUGUCUCGGUAAUUUGGGUGGCCAACCGAGACAAGCCUCUCAAGGAUUCCUCAGGGACUGUGAAGAUAUGUGAGGACAGCAACAACGUGGUCUCCAAUGGACAGAAUGAGGUUCUCUGGUCGUCGAACCUGUCAGGCAUCGCAAUGGCAAAUAGCACUACUCGCGCGCAGCUUUUUGACACGGGGAACCUGUUGUUGCAAUAGAUCAUUCAAGCAAUAACAGUACAGUGACUGUUUGGGAGAGUUUUGGGAAUCCCACGGACUCCUUCUUGCCGAGCGUGAAAAUCACCAAUGGCGAAGGAAAGGAAGCGCUUAGAUCUUGGAAAAGCUCUUCCGAUCCAUCUGUUGGGAAUUUUUCUGCAGGUUUAGACACUCAGAAUAUUCCUGAAGUUUUAAUCUGGAAAAUGGGUAGUCCGUAUUGGAGAAGCGGGCCUUGGAAUGGUCUAGUUUUCAUUGGAGUCCCAGAUAUGAGUUUGGUGUAUCUUAAAGGCUUCACUCUUGCGGAUGACAAGGAAGGAACUAUUUAUCUUACUUACACUGUUGUUAACCAGUCAUUCUUGUCCAACUUUGCAUUGAAUCCUGAAGGAAACCUGGUACAGAAAUACUGGGAUGAUGCGAAGCAAAAUUGUCACAUUUCAUGGUCAGCCUUAAACUGUGAAUGUGAUGUUUAUGGAACUUGUGGUUCCUUCGGGUCUUGCAAUCCGAAGAGUUCACCGAUAUGCAGCUGUUUGAGAGGCUUCGAGCCGAAGAACGUAAUGGAAUAGAAUGCCGGAAAUUGGACAAGUGGAUGUGUUGGGAUAACACAAAUACAAUGAGAGAUGACAAACAGUAGUCCCGAAAUUGGCAAAGCAGAUGGGUUUUUCAGGUUGGAGAACAUAAAAGUCCCCCACUUUGCAGAGUGGUCAAGUGGGGAUAAUUGCGGAGAUCGCUGCUUUGCUAAUUGUUCCUGCAUAGCUUUUGCAUACUUUUAUGGGCUCGGCUGCAUGAUAUGGACAGGAAAUUUGAUUGAUAUACAGAAGUUCUCCGAAGGUGGCAUCGAUCUUUACAUUCGUGCGGCAGAUUCAGAACUGAAUAAGAACAGGAACGUGAAAGUAAUUAUAUUUGCAAUGGUGAUGACAGGAGCGGUUGUCUUCACUUUCUUCCUAUGCAGAUGCAUGGCUAAGAGUAAAGGUAAACGCAUGAUGAACAGUCUGCUCAGUUGUGUUGGAAUGCACCGAAACCCGGUCAAGAGGUUGUUACUUACUAUAACUUUUGUAUCUAGCUGCAAGCAAGGAAUUAUUACUCUCCAGAAGAGAGAAGGCAUAUCGAGUGUAUUCUGGUGGAAAUAUGCCGGUCGAUGAGAUAAAGAAGAUGAAACUUCAGAACCUACCGCUCUACACUUACGGUAUGCUGGUAAUUGCUACAGACAAUUUCGACUCAUCCAAUCUGCUCGGGCAAGGGGGUUUUGGUCCAGUGUAUAAGGGGAAAAUGCCAAAUGGACAGGAGAUUGCUGUCAAGAGAUUAUUGCAAGCCUCCGGACAAGGCCUGGAAGAAUUCAUGAACGAAGUGGUGGCGAUCUCGAAACUCCAACACUGAAAUCUCGUCAGGCUACUUGGAUGCUGUAUCGAAGGAGACGAGA